rnacentral:lncRNA from 1 species
AGAUGCUGUCUUUUGCAGUCCUCCGAGAGCCUUCUCCGCUGGUGGUAUACUUACGAGGACCAGAGGUGAGGUGUCAGCAAGGAGGCCCACAGGUGGAAAGUGCUUUGGGCCAAUGGUACACACCUGCUUUAUUGGAUAGACGCAGAGAAGUAUGCCUGGUCACAGCCAGAGCUUACUCGGUCAAGAAAUUAUGAGCUCCCCAGAAGUCUCUUGUAUGCUGUCUCCUAGUUGUGAGCACCUUUUACCAAAGGUAACCACCAUUCUAACUUCUUUGACCAUAGAUUGGUUUUGGUUAUUUCUGGACUUUGAGCUUUGGAAUUGUACCACAUAUAUUCUUUUGUGUCUGGCUUCUUGUGGUCAGUAUUAUGUCCUUGAAAUUCAUUGAUGCUGUAUGACAUCGUAAGCAAUUAAAUAUUUGUCAUUGCUGAGUGGUA